rnacentral:rRNA from 1 species
CGGGUGGACCCGUCCAGUCGGCCCUCGGAAUUCAGCUUUUGGACAGUCCGCUGGCGCAGUCCUGGGAUCCCUGGUGACUCGCUCGGCGUCAGACCGGACUCCCGAGAGUGCACUUUCCGUGUUGGCAGAGCGUCACGACCGGUUUGGCGGCGGUGAUAAGGCCUCGGGGAAGGUAGGUCGUGGGUCUUCGGGCCCGCGACUGUUAUAGACCCUUGGAGAUGGCCGCUGCCGGACCGUGGAUCGACCCGUCGCAUGGCAGUGGGGCUUCCCGCGUGCGUUCGACUCGGAAGGACAGGCUUGCCGUGCUUCCGGACUGCGCUGCGUGGGAGGACCCCGCGAUAGCCAGCGAUGCGUUAGGGUCAGUGACACACGAUCGGUAAUCCACCCGGCCCGUCUUGAAACACGGACCAAGAAGUCCAACAUGUGCGCGAGUCAUUGGGUCCUACGAAACCUAAAGGCGUAAUGAAGGUGAAGGCAGGUUCGGCCUGCUGAGGUGAGAUCCCCGUCCUCGGGGCGGGGCGCAUCACCGGCCCGUCUGCAAAGGCGGAGCAAGAGCGCACACGUUGGGACCCGAAAGAUGGUGAACUAUGCCUGAGCAGGAUGAAGCCAGAGGAAACUCUGGUGGAAGUCCGUAGCGAUUCUGACGUGCAAAUCGAUCGUCGAACUUGGGUAUAGGGGCGAAAGACUAAUCGAACCAUCUAGUAGCUGGUUCCCUCCGAAGUUUCCCUCAGGAUAGCUGGCGCUCGUCCUAACAGUUUUAUCCGGUAAAGCGAAUGAUUAGAGGCCUUGGGGACGAAACGUCCUCAACCUAUUCUCAAACUUUAAAUGGGUAAGGAGUCGGACUCGCUUGAUUGGAGUCCGGACUGGAAUGUGAGUGCCAAGUGGGCCACUUUUGGUAAGCAGAACUGGCGCUGUGGGAUGAACCAAACGUCCGGUUAAGGUGCCUAACACUGACGCUCAUGAGAUACCAUAAAAGGUGUUGGUUGAUAUAGACAGCAGGACGGUGGCCAUGGAAGUCGGAAUCCGCUAAGGAGUGUGUAACAACUCACCUGCCGAAUCAACCAGC